rnacentral:rRNA from 1 species
UACGGAGGGGGCUAGCGUUGUUCGGAAUGACUGGGCGUAAAGCGCGCGUAGGCGGAUCAGAAAGUUGGGGGUGAAAUCCCGGGGCUCAACCUCGGAAUGGCCUUCAAAACUCCUGGUCUUGAGUUCGAGAGAGGUGAGUGGAAUUCCGAGUGUAGAGGUGAAAUUCGUAGAUAUUCGGAGGAACACCAGUGGCGAAGGCGGCUCACUGGCUCGAUACUGACGCUGAGGUGCGAAAGCGUGGGGAGCAAACAGG